rnacentral:ncRNA from 2 species
ACAAAGCAAGGGAAUGAAGUUCUCCCGCGGGCGCUGCCCGAAACCGCUUUUGCUGAUGACUUCUGCAAUUUG